UGCUUAACACAUGCAAGUCGAGCGGAAAGGCCCUUCGGGGUACUCGAGCGGCGAACGGGUGAGUAACACGUGAGUAACCUGCCCCAGGCUUUGGGAUAACCCUCGGAAACGGGGGCUAAUACCGAAUAUUCACUUUGUGUGGCAUCACAUUGGGUGGAAAGUUUUUCGGCUUGGGAUGGGCUCGCGGCCUAUCAGCUUGUUGGUGGGGUGAUGGCCUACCAAGGCGACGACGGGUAGCCGGCCUGAGAGGGCGACCGGCCACACUGGGACUGAGACACGGCCCAGACUCCUACGGGAGGCAGCAGUGGGGAAUAUUGCACAAUGGGCGGAAGCCUGAUGCAGCGACGCCGCGUGAGGGAUGAAGGCCUUCGGGUUGUAAACCUCUUUCGACAAGGACGAAGCGCAAGUGACGGUACCUGGAGAAGAAGCGCCGGCCAACUACGUGCCAGCAGCCGCGGUAAGACGUAGGGCGCGAGCGUUGUCCGGAUUUAUUGGGCGUAAAGAGCUCGUAGGCGGCUUGUUGCGUCAGCUGUGAAAACCCGCAGCUCAACUGUGGGCUUGCAGCUGAUACGGGCAGGCUUGAGUUCGGUAGGGGAGACUGGAAUUCCUGGUGUAGCGGUGAAAUGCGCAGAUAUCAGGAGGAACACCGGUGGCGAAGGCGGGUCUCUGGGCCGAUACUGACGCUGAGGAGCGAAAGCGUGGGGAGCGAACAGGAUUAGAUACCCUGGUAGUCCACGCUGUAAACGUUGGGCGCUAAGUGUGGGGGGCCUCUCCGGUUCUCUGUGCC
rnacentral:rRNA from 1 species